rnacentral:rRNA from 1 species
AGUGAACGCUGGCGGUAGGCCUAACACAUGCAAGUCGAACGGUAGCACAGUAAGAGCUUGCUCUUACGGGUGGCGAGUGGCGGACGGGUGAGGAAUACAGCGGAAUCUACUUUUUCGUGGGGGAAAACGUAGGGAAACUUACGCUAAUACCGCAUACGACCUACGGGUGAAAGCAGGGGAUCUUCGGACCUUGCGCGAUUGAAUGAGCCGAUGUCGGAUUAGCUAGUUGGCGGGGUAAAGGCCCACCAAGGCGACGAUCCGUAGCUGGUCUGAGAGGAUGACCAGCCACACUGGAACUGAGACACGGUCCAGACUCCUACGGGAGGCAGCAGUGGGGAAUAUUGGACAAUGGGCGCAAGCCUGAUCCAGCCAUGCCGCGUGGGUGAAGAAGGCCUUCGGGUUGUAAAGCCCUUUUGUUGGGAAAGAAAAGCAGCAGGUUAAUACCCCGCUGUUCUGACGGUACCCAAAGAAUAAGCACCGGCUAACUUCGUG